UCCUCUUCUCCAAACUAAAGAGACCCAGCUCCCUCAGCCUUUCUUCAUAAGGGAGAUGCUCCACUCCCUUAAUCAUCUUCGUUGCCCUGCACUGGACCCUCUCCAGCAGUUCCCUGUCCUUCUGGAACUGAGGAGCCCAGAACUGGACACAAUAUUUCAGAUGCAGUCUCACGUUUUGAUAAAGUGCUUUUAUUACUGGAUUUCUGUUAUGCUUUUAUUACUGGGCAGUAACAGAUUCUGGAGAUUUCUGUAAAAUUCGGUCAGUCUCAUCAGGCUUCAACAAACUCUUUUGUUCUUUGAACAGAGAAAUUCAGCAUUAGCUAAACUCUUCAGAGCAUGGGUGUUUUUGUUGUUUUUUUUUUUUUUUUCCAGUAGGAUAUGCACACUGAUAAUGACAAUGCAAAUGAUACAAAAAAUACAUGCAAUCUUUGCAUGGCAAUCAAACCUCUGAAAUGCCCAGGUUCAUGACUCAGCCACAGGUGAGUGGGUUAGGUAAAAUGAAAACAGCCUCAGGGUUUAUAACAGGGUGAAACACCAACUAGUACAUGUUAAUGAUUAAAAAUACAUUUUAAAAAAGCACUUGCACUUCAGUUCUUCUUUGAUACUGAGAAUGCAAAGAAUCUCUGAAGAGUCUGCUUUUGUGCAGGUUUUAGGCCUAACACAUGGAAUGGUCUUUAUUCCAGGUAGGGAUACAGAUUUCUCAAAUUGACCAAACUUUUCAGGGAUUAACUAGACCUAAAAUACUUCUGAACUGCCUGAGUUUUGCUCACGAGUGAGUUCCCUCCCUUUGACAUGGGCUGGGCAUAAUGCCAGAGAGAAAACAGACAGGUGGUCAGCUGUCUAAUGAUGGAGAGAUCCUGGGGAGAAGGAUGACCCACCUGCACAAACCAGGACAGGCAGAAGGAAGCCUGUGUGGCCUCAGCAGAACUGUUCCCUAAGGUGCAUCACAUUUAAUUGCUGUUCCUCAUACCUACAUGUCUAAGAAAGUACUGGAAAUUGUCACUCACUGGUUUUAGCACAAAUGCUGGACUUUUAAUAUUCUGAGUUUUAUUAACAUUAUUAGAGAACCUUAAACAACUUAAAGUAUUCACUGACUAAGGAUAAAAUUUUCUCUGUAGUUUCAAUAGGAAAAUAUUAAUCGCAUUGAAGUGCAAAGUCAUUUUAAGAAAAAGUCAUGGCUAUUUUAACACGAACUACACAUGAACAUUGUCCCUGCUCAGCUCCUUGAGCUCCCUGAAAGUCCAAGUAACUGCAAAAUUAGUGUGUAUAGCCACUGUCACCUCUGUGAGAUCUGCACUUGUAGUCACUCCGUUAUAGCAUACCAGCCUUGGGAAGAAGGAGUGCUGAAAAAAAUAGCCAAAGCUCAUGCUAAAUACUUUUGAUAGAAAGUGAUUUGUUUUGAAGUGUUAAGCUGGCUUUGAAGCCUGUGGAUUGAUUUUUAUUUUCUUUUUUUGGGGGGAGGCAGCUUUCUGCUAGAAAUACCACUUUAGGAAAAAAACACCUCUGGUAAGCUACUCUCCCCUUAAAGCUGUGAGUUCAGUUUUUUAACUUAAUAUAUGCUACUUUUAAUCACACGUUUUUGGUAAACCAGGCUGGAAAAUGAGAGGAAAGGGAGGGAAGAUCAUUGUUUGCUUCUGAGCCCUAGUGUCUGCUAGAAAUUAUUAAUGUUUGUUUCACAACGGGGUGUGAAUUACUUGGUUGCAGUCAACCAUUGUUUGGAAAUAUAUUUUGGAAUGUUUCCUUUAUGAAAGGUUUUUAUUUGCUUAGGAUUCAUGAUUCUGUAUUUCUUUCAGCUGUUCACAUGUUUUGUCACUGCAGUAUUGCUCAUUUUAUAGUAAUGGGUUCAGCUAAUAACCAGACAUUUAUUUCAAACUACAUCUUGAAGCAUGGUGAAAAUCUAGCUCCUGAAAGCUGUAUUAAAGCAGGAUCUCAUACAUUGUGCAUUCUGCUAACAGUGGUCCUGGGAUUUAACUUUUAAUAGAAAUCUUCCAUUAUUUCCUGGAAAUAAUUAAAUAAAAGGUGGUCCUAAAUUUUUGCAAGUGUGGUGAACAUAUUUUCAAAUGUGAUGAUCGGGAUCGAACUGGUUUGAGUCUUUUUAUAUGCUGGAAGACAGCAGUUGUUUUUUCAAUUUUUCUGACCAUACAUUAAUAGCUGCAUAAAAUGUAUCUGAGUUCAUUAAUGGUGGAUGAUCUGGAUGACUAAGUCUUACUUUUGGCAGUGGAGGCGGAAGUGGGGUUUUCUUUUAAUGGUGUUGAUUAGAACUGGAUGACUUCCAGAUAGAUCAGUUUAAUCCAAAUAUUACCAGCACCACCUCCAAUUUGUCGGAGGGACGUAUGUGCUGUGGGAAAGACAUAGAGUUGGUUGGACUGGUACAAGCAUUGAGGCUGGAGUGCCUUUCUCACACAGUGCCAAGAUUUGAGGGACCAAGUUGAAUACCAGAAUUCAGAUUCAAGCUCCUGGUUCAGUGUUGCAGUGCUGGGUACCUAGAACCUACUGCUAACGGGACUGUAUUUGUGGUUUGGUAAGCACUUCUGAAGAUACAUUUUGACUUUGGGACUUAAUGAAUUUUGGCAUUCUGGAAAACUAGUAUCAUGGAUGAAAAUUAAACUUUGCUAGCCAUCUAACUAAUUUGGCCAAAAUUUUGAUGUUUCAGGCCCUACAACCACUUUCUUCAGGAAUUGCCUUAUCUUAUUUUCUUCCGGAUCUACUUUAAUUAUGUACAUGCAAGCGAAGAGGUCACCCUAGCGGAAAAAUCUGGGCAAUGGUGUUGUGCGACCUUUCUGUCACAGUUGCCAUCUUUCAUUGUGUUUGCUACGUGGAAAUAUACAGAUUUAUCUGGUGUGUUUGUUUUGGAUUUUGGAAGGGCAAAAAUACUUACAUUCUCUCAUCUGAAGCUGAAGAAGACCCCAGCAGUGCAACAGGGGCUGGCAUCCUUGCAGCAGCUUGUUCAAAGGCUAUAGUACUGCCCACCUUCCUCUUGCUGUCCUGGUAAAGGCAGAUGGACUUUCCACAUUCCUCGAAGAACUUGGGCUAGUGGUGCAAACUGGUGGGAGUGGUGGGAGAAAAGCAAAGAAUAUGCAUCAACUGCUUCCAAAGCUCAGCACAAGGAAAACAGAAGGGUAGCUGACACCAACUCUCCAAAUAGCCUGACAUUCACCCACCUUUAUGAAGGACAAUGGUGCACAUUGGAGAAGCCGAUGGUAUUACCUUGGCAAUAAACAACCAGAAUGAAGAGUUAAUCUGAUCCUUCGGUCUUCCUCCUUUCUUCAGCAGUACCAAUAACGAACUUUGCAAAUGAUCAUCGUCUUAGGAGACUUAGGUGUGAAGAGCAGUGAUCCAUACAGUUUAUAACCAUUCUCUCUUGGUGCUCUGAAAAGUGAUCUGGCUCCUGCAGUUUCUUGGAUCAUGCUACAAAGACUGCUUCUCCAUGGCUGACUGUAUUGUGCAGUCUUCUACUAGAUGUUAGGAUUUCAGUUUCCAUAUAUGCAAGCAAGUGGUUUCUUCUGCAAAUAUUUGAAAGCUGUGGUGAGCACUCCACCCAAUUUCUGGUAUACAACUAAAUGAUAUUUUAGGCUAUUUUGAUGUUGAAUAACUGCUAGGAGAACGAUGCACCCAUUUAGCAGGAAUAUGAAAGGACUGAAAAUAAAAUAAUGACUACUCAUGAAAUAAAACGUUACAGGUGAGUUCUUUGGUUUUCACGGCACACCUUUUUAAAAGUCUUGGCUUCAGAACAAGAAUCUUAGCCUGGGAAGAAAAGUUCAAAUGUGAUUUCCAGGAGAUACCUCUAGAGAAUUCCUUUAAACAUAUAUAUAUAUAUAUAUGUAUGUAUAUUUAUUUGUUUGUUUUUCUAUAGACUUUUGUCUGACAAUUGAUUUCCCCUUGCAUUUGGUUUACAUUACAGCAUGUGCUCAAGCAAUUGUUCUUGGAGAAGAGUUGUGUAAACAUAUAUCAAUUUAAUCUAUCUGUGCUAAUAGAAACGAUUCUCUAUGAUUUUCUUGGCACUGUUGAGUUUAUGCCAUGUACAUCCACUUUACUUCCCUCUUUCUAGUAUUGUCCAUAGUUUACGUUCAUUAGUCUCAGGUUUUAUAAUUCUUUGUCCUUCAUAUGGCUUGAAUUUUGUGCACAGCCUAGGACUGUAUACGUUGGGAACUAGUGUGGAGUUCAGGAGAAGUAGGGCUACUUUUCUUCUCUGUGAUUUUGAUCCUUUGGGACUCCAGGGAAGUCCUUCAGUGUUUUUCACUCUUCCUACAUUCUUUUUAUUGUUAGAAUCUGAGAGCGAGCUCUUCAAGGACUCUGUGACCACACAGUGACUUGAGAAAUCUAUCUGUGAGUGUCUAGGUGCCACCAUGGUUCCCAAAAGGUGUGUGCCUUAGGAGAAAAGUUUUCAUUGGAAAUAUGAGGGUAUAUUUUUAGUGCUUUUUCAUGACCUGCUAUGUCCAUUUACAGGCCUCUUGUACAGCCACAAAUGAUUUUGCAGCUACCUAGAGGGGAAGAAGCACCCUUUUUCCUGGAAUGAGGUCCCACAUAAACUUCACUUCUUCAGAGGCAUUUGUAUUAUCUUUUCCCUCAGGGCUGUAUCAUUUAUUGUCUGUACUGUGUGUUUGUUUGCAAAUCUGAAUCUUCUUGCAUAGAUGUAGAGACUCUGACUCUGUCUUAUGGAUGGAGGACAUCACAGGCAGCAUAUUCUGCCUUGGGGUCUGCAGAGAGCCAGGUUAGAGUCAGUCAACACUGUCUUCAGCAUCUGGAUCUCCAAAUAUGAGCUCAUGCUGCCCACUUAUUGAAGUAACUCUGCAAAUCUAUAGAUUACAGCCCAUUAUCAUUAGACUGUUUAAUCCAACACCUUCAACCUGACUGAAACUAAUGACCGGUCCCUAUGCUGAGCUCAGGUCUGGUGUGAUGAAAAGUGUAGGUGAUGUUGGCUGCUCCUCUUCAUGCUCUCAAAUGAUGCAUCUGCUCAUUAGAUAAAGGUUUGGGGUGCUGUUGCUUGGGUGUCUGGCAGCUGACAAAACUACCUCGAAUGUGCAGUGAUUCAUAAACACAGGCUGGCAGAUGCAUUUAGUUAAAAUCUGAUUCCAGGCUUGUGUCUUACCCUUAAAAGGCUUUCAUCCAUCUAGCAGCACCACUGAGUUCUCAUAGAGACUGAAGCUGAGCUAGUUGUCUGUCUUCCAGGUACUUAUCUUCUAAAGUGCUGAAACAUCUUUUGGGUUUUGCUGCCUUCUGUGUCAUGGGAACCCCAGUAAAAGCAAAUGGUUGGGGGAGAGCUUGCCUUUUUAGCAUUUCCAGGCACAGCAGUGAGACAAAUAAAUGGAAGAAACCCCACCCAGGCCUGUUAAACAUGAAGAUGCUGAUGCAACUGCUGGCUCAGGAAGUCCUAGAUUGUGCAGUGCCAGAAACUGGUGGAGUAUACAAGGGAAAUAUCUCUGUCUGCUUGCCCUUGUCUCUUACACUGUUCCAAACUAUUUGCUACUUUGAAAUCAGCUACUGAAUUAAAUGGAUCUUUGGUGUGGUCCUGUAGAGCUGGACUUAUUAACUUCCUAGAUUGUUUCCCAUGUAUUUGAAAACAUUGUGUGGUCUCCACAAAAAGUUGGCAGAUCACAAGCCUGACAAAAUGUAUGCAUUGCAUGACAUUUAAUAUGAGUGUUUUAGUAAUCUCUAGUGAACCAAAGGAUUAAUCUGGACUGAAUGGACAGAGUCAGCCAACAGGGCUGACUAAGGAGAGAGGCUUUAAACACUUAACUUGACCAGUCCCAUCAGUUUUCAUACUUAAAUCACAUGUUUCUGGAUGGCUGUGUGCAAACUGGUGUUAGAGAAAUCUUGCUGAAUAGUCAGAAAACCUGAGCUAGACAUUGUCAAGGGGCACUUGAAUCUGCCAGAAAAUCUGACUCCAGAAUACAGGAGUCAGCUGGGGAGGUAGGAAUGGUUCUCUGAAUUCAGGAUCCCAAGACCUACAGCAAGGAGAGGCAAGAGUUCUUGUGGAGUGGAGCUGAAACAGCCACACAGGAGCUUUCUUAAGUACAGCUGAGGACUUUCCUUGAAUUAUGAUUUACUGAUUUAUCUUUUAUUUCUGUGCUUGUAUUUAAAACCCCUUCUUUAAAUCUUGUGAAGUAGACAGUCCUGCUAAAAAUGCCUAUGAAUUUGUCAUUAAACUUGGGUUGAAGUGAGUGAAGGUCAUACUGAUAAGCUUAGGGUACACUGUUCCUGUGGAGGUGAGAGAUAAGAGUAAAGAAGUGUACAAGUAAUGUAAAGGGUACGUUAAAGAAAUUCAGUGAUUGUAAUUUGCCUCCACGGAAUCAGCAAAAUAUGGGCUUAAUUCUGACAGAUGCUCCUCCUUCCUUCAAGGAGGGAAGUAGUGGAGCAACUCCAAGACCAUCCCAAAUUAAGAGACUUGCACUGGGAAAAAGAGAUACCAUUAGCAUCUUGCAUAUGACAGCACUUCUUAUAUAUUCUGGAUCAUGCCAUGCCUUAAGGUACAGCACAAGUAACAAAUAUGGGGCAAAACACUUCUUCUUGGCCCAUCCCUAUGUGUCAUAGGGGAAAGAAUGAUAUCAUAAACCAAAGGCAAGCUAGAAAGAGAAAUAUACUAAAAUAAACUGAGCUGGUCAGAGAAGAAUGGCAACAACAGCAAUAGAAUUAUUUUAGCUAGUUAUAGACAAAAAGGCAAAAUUAACAUAAGGUUUCAUCCUGCUCUUUGGCUCUGAGCCAGAAUCCAGUAGUCCUGCUUCACUUCCGGCAUCUGAGGCCAUACUGAUCAACCAGGAGUAAUUAAUGGUUGUCAAAAUGGGUAAAAUUGAUAGUUUCUUUACAAAAAGAACAAUUUGGUGUUAUAAUUCUAUUCACUAUUCCUUGCUUGCUGUUCUUUUCUAAAUUAAAAACAAACCAAACAAACAAACCCUCACAGAUCAGAGAAUCACAGAAUAUUAAGCUCGGCAGCAGAAUUGUCUUCGGAGUGUGCAGUGUAUGUAUACUUAUAGUACUUAGUAAUACAUUGUGAUAAGAAAGGGAACAUUUUUGAGUGGAUAUUCGAGUUCAGUCCAUGGACAUGAAUUGUUGCAUAAAUUAUAUUAAACGUGAGUAGCCACUGGACAAACUCUGCCUCUGAGAUACUGAGCAUUUUACUUAAGCAGUUGAUAUUACUGAAUGCUUGACAGUUCCACUGUAUGAUAGUUUUCAUUACUUUACUGCCUUUGAAAUUCCAAAUAGGGAAAUUCAGUCUAUAUGGAGACAUUAAUUUUACAUGUGCUUUUUUUUUUUUGUCAUUUUAGAAUUAUUUUUUGUCAUUAACACGGAAUAAGUAAUUUUUACAAAAUGUUAUAAACAAUAUCCAUGAAAUCCAGUGGGUAACUUGUUUGAAUCUCAGCUAUGCAUUUCCUUUUUACAUCACUGAGGACAACAUUGUCCGCACUUUGUCAUAUAUGACCUCUUCUGCCCAUCAUUUCUUCUCACCUACACCUCUCCUCUCAUUCAGACCAUUGUGGUUCCAGUCAAAAGCAGUCUAUUAGGUGUAAGACUUUCAAAGCAUACAGUAAUUUCCUAUCAACAUCAAAGCAAAUUACUCCAAUUUAGUUUCUCUUUAGAGAAGGAAGAGUUCCUUUAUUUUCAUACUGGAGCUCAUUCAUUCUUGCUACGUGCUGCUGCAGAUAUCGUUCCCUUCUUAUGACUUUUUUUUUUUUUUCCUGAGAACUGUGAAUUUCAGUUGGGCAGUUUUAUUUGUCAUUUUAAAGGAAUGUAUUCCGUCAGCUCAGCUCUCAGACUUGUGUUCUUCUAAUGUAAGUGGAAUAAAUUAAGUUGGCCACACACAAAAUGGUUUUACAAAUUAUUUUGAAAAAAUGAAAGGGCCACGACAGAGUAAACAAAUAAAUUUAUCAUUUUGUGGCAUUGUGGUUUUGCUUUCAUAUCAAAAUUUACAGCUUUCUGAAUACUCAUAUCAGAGCUUUAAAUUAAUAUCUGGUUUUCUGUGUUUCAGUUGAACUCCUUCAGGUCAAAUUUCUCCCUUCAUACAUUGCUAAACACCAAGUGACAGAUGGACUUCAAAUGCUAGUAGUUAAUACAGGAAAUUAUUAUUUUUUUUUUUUUUUUUUUAAUAAAACAAGGAGAUCACAAACAUAUAAAACAAAAGUCCUUCUCCCUCCAGACUUGAGUUGAAAAGUAAGCUUUCUACAAAAUUCUAAAAUUUCUUUGUGAGAUUUCUAGAUUACUCUUAAAAUAGGAGAGGCAGAGGGUGAACAAUUUGAAGAGAAAUUGUCAAAAUCUUUAGAAAUCACCAACAAUUUUAAAAAUAAUUUCCUUCAUAUAAUUAUGCAUUUUCAUCUGUUGUUUUUCCCCUCUUACUCAAAAUUAGUUUAUAUUUAUGUUUCCAGGACCUCCUUAACUGUGUUUCCUGUCUGGAUUUGGAGCGAAGAGGUUUAAUGAGGCAAAAUGGCUGGUAGUUUGAUGCUAACCACCAGCAGCACCAUUUGUUAAUCCCAGUUUCAUAGUAAUUUAUGUCAGAUUGCAAAAGCUACUCAGCUUGACUGAAAAACUCAUUCAAACUAUCCUCUUGCAUGGUCUGAUGGUAAUCUGGUAGAUUACUGAUGCAAAAAUGUGAGUUCAAAGUGCAGGUUUAGAUGUAAAUUGAUGAUUUCCAAAGGUUAGGUCACUGAGGUUUUCUAAGGAGCUGAGAGAAAGACCUAGUGUGGGAAUUGGAACUUGCUCUCACUACAGGUAGGACUUACCAGACCAAAGGUUUUGGCUUGGGCCCAAAUCCGAUGAAGAUGGGAAUGAGAGACCAUGAAAUGUAACUUUAAUCCUUCUCUUCAAAAAUUUAAAAUAAAAUAAAAUAAAAUUCAUGUGUGUUUCUGCCUUUGGGCUGGAGAGAUUCUAAGAGAUUUGUAUGUAGAUGUGUCUUUAGUGUUUUGAACCAAUUUUACCUUCCAGAUCCUUUCAGUAAACUCUAAGUGUGAGAGUAUUCAGUGUGGUUUUCCUUAUACUCUGUUUUAAUAAAUAACAAUGAAGACUGGGAGGGGACAGUGGGCAGAGGACUUGGUUUGCUUUUUUUUUCAUACCUGAUGUUGCAGACUGAAUAUACAAACUGUGAAGAGAGAAUUUAAGCUGCCAGCAUUUUUUUUGCAGUGUGUAUGACCGAUCGGUUAUUUUUAAAGGUAAAUAUAGCUUUGGUAGCUUUUUCUAUUUAAUUUACUGGCCAAAUUUUCUGAUAUAAGUAGGAUUUCUACUGUGUUUAAUUAAUUAGAAAGACUAACAGUGAAGUGUUUCUCAGCUUAAUUAUUUUGAAAUAAAAUCUCAAAGCAACAAGUUUUAGGAUAAUUAGUGGGGAAAAAAAAAAAAAAAAAAGAAAGCUUUUAGCCAGGAAUAAUACAAUGCAUGGUGGAAACCAGAAUUUCACUUCAUCUAGGUUUAUUUUCUUGAACUAACUCACCAGGAUGUACAGAGUUCUCCCACAUUUGCAUGCCUGUGCAGCAACCAGCCAUGGGGAUUUUGCUGGCUCUCCCCAGGCCCACAGAGACAGGCAUGUAGCAGCUCAGGCUGUGUGUGAGAAAGGACAUAUAGGAAGAAGUUAGAAAACAAAGCCCUUUAUGACCAUUUUUUCUAAUUUAUAACUAAAUAGUCAGGUUUUGUUAGUAUUAAUCUUGACAAAGAAUAAUCUACUGAAGUGCAGUGUGAAAAUCAAACAACACUGCAGUUCUAAGGAUUUUUUUACUAUUACUGUUUGAAGGGUUAUACUUACAGAGGGCACCAGGAACGGUUGGAAUAUCUUCAUAUAACUAUUACAUGAUUUGGGAUAUAUCAUGUUUUUAAAUCUCUGCUCUACAAGGAAAGACCAGAAAAUCUAGUCUAGUGGGCCCUAGAAAAGUGUAGAGCAAACCUGCCCUUCCUUCUGCCACUCUGACAGUGGCUCUCUCUCGGUUAUAUGAGAUCAUGGCUCGUAUACCAGCUUGCAGUCCAAGCUCAGAGAAGAUACCUGAGUUCAGAUUAUUCCAAUCAUGUCUUUUCUCUCUUGUUCUUGGGGACAGUCUUCUUGCCUAAGCAGAGAAGAGAUAUACCUCCUACUGAUACGGACUAUCCACUCGUGCAGCUUUAUUUUUUUUCACGGCUUUAUAAUUGCUGUGCAUCCAUGGUUCUAUGCUGCAAUUUUGUACAAGGAAAGUAAUAACAAUUAUGCAUAACUGUUUCCUGAAACUCUCUGAUGCUUAAUUAUCUGCUGAAAAGAACUUGAGUAACUGUGAGUCACACAUGGCUCUGCUUGCAUUUUCUGGUUCUGGGAAGGGUCUGACAGCUUACCCUGGUACCCAAUGCCAGGGAGUUGGGACUGUAAAUGUUUAUUAGGGUACACUGAUGCUGGAAACCAUCCCACCAGGCACGGUACCAUGGCCAUGUGAGUUGGGUUCCCUCUCUUCUCACAGUAAGAACAGACAUGUUAUUCAGAGAACAAGGACUUGAAGAGAGUGGUUUAUGUGACCAGAUGGAGCCACUGUCAUAAUCUGGUAUGAGCUUCUAGAUAAUUUAAUAAGAAUUGGCAAGAGCAGGUGUCAGUUCCUUGAUGACUUUUUUUUUUAUGUGGAGAGAGAGUGAUGAGGUGUUAAUUAAGAGGGAAUUAGGUCUCAUUAGCCUUAGAUAUACAUGUUUGAUGACAUGCUUUUCUUUAUUUUUUUUUUCUAGAUACAGAGCAUUGCACUACUGGCCUUUAGUCUGAUAAAUAUUUGAAAACCAGAAAGCCAGAGGAGGAAAGCAGAUGCCAGGGCAUCCAUGAUAGUGGUGCAGGCAGUCUGUCUAGGUUUGCUCACCGGAAAACUUGGUCUUGCUGCCUGACCCCUUGGCACUGAUCAAGUCACAGCUCAACACCACAGAGUGCUGAGGUGCCCAUGUUAGUGAGGCUGGUGUCUUCUAUUUUGGAUCCUGGUAAAGCAGAUAAGGUUUAAAUAGGAGGUCAUGGUGCAAGUGUCUGGGGUAUGCUAGGGUUCACUCUUUUAAAUAGAUGUCCACAGCUGAAACACAGUGUGAACUUCUCUUAAGUCUCUCUUUGGGGCCUGAUCAUACCCAUGACAUGUAUUCUUCCUUCAGUCAGGGACUGAAUAUAAACAAGGGGUGUCGGAGUGAUGAGAGUUCAAACUGUAGAAAGUGAUGGCAGCUGAAAGUCAUUGCGGGUUUAAUGCAGAUUCCUGAGCUCCUCAUUCAGGAGCUCACUCCAAGAGCAGUGCUGUGCCACUGCGUUGUGAGGACUGCCAGGGAGAGACACUCGAAAGAAGCUGUUUUUCUUCAGGCAUUACCAAAAAUUAUGAGAAAGAGUAGCAAAUGUCUGGAAGAGGAGUAGUCUCAGAAUUUGCUCUCUUUUAAUAAAAUUAUCUCUUCAUCUGUGUAUGCAUUUCUAUGAGACUGUUUCUCCUCUGCAGAGCAGUCAGCUAAAUGGACAGGUGAAUGCCUACCUGUUCACUCAGCACUCACAUGUUGAAAAGCAGAGUGGAAGUGUGAAAAGCUUUCCUUUUUAGCUACUGAGCUAGUUUAAACUAGAAAAACUCUUCAAUAUAUUUUUCAUUUCAUAAAAAGGUGGUAAUAAAAAUUAUCAAAAUUACAAUAAUCAGAAAAUUGCAGAUAAAGGUCUUUAGGAUGUGUAACUCCAAAGUGUAGGCAAUAGAAUCGUAAUUUAUAGGCUGACACACCAGUCCAGCUACAGGCAACUCCAGCAGUUGCUUUCCUACUUUUUAAAAUAAGGGCACAGCCAUCAGACUAAAUAUAGCAUGCAGCUAUGUAGAAAACUGAAACCAGACAGUGAGACAGGAUACUUUGUGACAGAAGUAGAUCCACAGCCCACUGCAGGCUGGAAAUCCUUCUGCGUUUAACCUGCUGCCUCCCUAAACAUAUUUGCAAUACUGUUCAUUUUGUAUAGCUUCCUUCUGUUCUCCCUCCUCUGCAUUGACCCCCACAAAGAUGCCAUCAUAUCUCAAAAGGGGAGUUACCAAAAGUACUUGGGACACAGCAACUGCUGCUUUUGAUUUCUGCUCUUGAAGGAUGCAAACCCGUCCUUGUGACUCCUACUUUUUUUUCAUUAGAGCACAGAUUUCAGCAGCUGCCUGACCAUGUGAGGGAAAAAAUUAAAGUAUUACUAUUUUCUCCCUCAUGCCCCCUCAUAAAUGGAAAGACUGGAUCCCGUUUCUCAUAUUUGCUGCUGUGUUUAAGUUGUGAUUAGGGCCAUGGUAGUGUGUCAAACUGUUUUAGGUGAAUAGAUAACCUAGGUGAUCCUGAUACCUUCCUGGAAAUGUCAGAUUUUGUGAUUUUUCUGAUUUUUCUUGCAGGCCUGUGGGUUAAUUUGUCUGCCUACCUGUCUUCAAGUUCCUGUGAAUGGAAGUCAGGUGCUACCACUUAUUUUAACUAUAAAACAACCAACUGUUUUGUCUCAAGACCCUUUUCAAUUAAGGAGGCUUAACUCAACUUUUGGGAAAAGUGCUGUAUUUCAUUGUCUUAUGGUAGCCAGUGUGUGUGGCAGGCAGGCUUGGUGGGCCCUGCUGGAGAAAGGGGGAUCCACAGCUACAGCACUGGCCUCAGCAAGUCACUCCACUCAUCUUCACAGCAGGUUGUACAUGUUUCUUCUGAGAAAAGUAACAAGUUGGCCUUCGGCUUCCCUUUAUAAUGAUGGGCCGUGAAUGUUUUCUAGCAUGUGCUCACAUCUUGGCUCUUAGCCAAGUACCACACAAGCAACCUCACUUCAAGAUGCAGGCUGGGCUUGCUGGAUUUUGGAGUCUUAACCUGAAUUUCACUGCCUUCAGCUACCUUUAAAGCAUAUCUUGAUUUGUAUGUUUUCUUAGAGAAGACAUUUCAAAAGAUAAAACAGAUUUGGCAGGAAAAAAAAAAAAGAGAGAGAGAGAAAAUCCUAAGAUAAUGCAACUGGGAAAAGCUUUCUGAUCCGUCUUGACACAUCUGUUGCUUUAGAAGAAAAAAUGAAAAAAUUCUCCUGGCUGCACUGGGGCCCUGCAGCUAUGUGUGUUGGGGGCCUGGCUGUAUAAUUUGUGGAGUGUAAUAAUUCUAUAAUUAUAUUGCUAAUUUUGUGCUACUACUUCUUUAUAAUAACAGAGUGAAGUGAUUUAUAACUUAACAGUUUUACGGGAGUCUAGACAGACUGUUAACUGAAAAUGAGCACUUGCAAUAUAGCUCCUGAUUAAUGCUAUUGUUAAGGGCAUGUUAUCAAGCUGUGUGAAUGUUUGCUGAAAGGGUAGCUUUGUAAAAGUAUUUCAAAGUCAAAAUCUCCACAGUACAGUGCCUUUGUGGUCUUGCCUGUAGGUAUAUGAAAAAUAACAGGAGGGAGGAUGGGAGAAAGGUUAAAACUAAAAGGAAUCUAAGCCUAAGUGAUACACACUAAGAACUCCAAAAGACUGCAGAUGGUAGGAAGAAUUUGAAUUUCAAAACUGAAGAGGAAUUUGUAAUGAAACUAGAGGAACUGGAUUUUGCAAGAGGCUGAAGUAGUUUUUGGUUCAGUAAUGAGGAAGAAUUUGCAGUCUGGGGCUUACACAGGACCUUGUAUCUCAAACCUAGAAGAUUUAGAAGCUCUGAACUAGGUUGCAGAGGCAAGAUAUUUACCUUCUUUUCAUUGAUGCUUUGGAUUGUUGCUUGUGUGAGCUAAAUUCGUGUUUGGGGAGCCACAGCUGCUUUCUCUGUCUGUGGACAUAGAGUAACUGGGUGCUCCCAAGGCUGCUUUUGCUUCCCAAGAUUGCUUUACCCUGGCUGGAACAGAAGGUAGUAGCUGCACUGAAUUUUCAGGCAACACAUAGUAUUGGUGUUCUUUUCUUCCAAAUGUCAUAAAAUGGAAACCUACAAACAUAAAGCAUUUUUACAGAAAUAAAGGGAUGAAAGAAGAAAUAUUGGAAAAAAAAAAAUCUCAUGCUUAAUUACAUGGACACUCUACAUGUAAAAAGAAGCAUAACUUGGUCUUUUUUUUUUCCUUCCCCUAAAACCAGAGUAUUCAACUAUCUGACCUCUUGCAAGGCACCAACCUGGUGUAAGGCAGUCAUUGACUGCAUACUGCUUGCCCUUGGAGUAUUUUAACUGUUGAAAUACAGGUUACAGUAUGAAAAAAACAAUUCUUCUUUCAACUCUAGGUAUUAAAAGAUGGAACACAUCCUAUAUUCUUCCCUCAUUGCUGCAAGUGUUGUUUUAUGGCAAUGGUUCAUUCAGGAUUUCAGCUUUUGGAGCUGAUGAUUUACUACCUUUCACUUAGAUUUUUACUGCUUGCAAAGCUGAGUGUAUAGGCUUAUCAUUCCAGUUAUAACAUGACCUAAGUUAUGAGAUCAUUAUGAAAAAUUCUUCAUGAAAAAUCAUACAAGAUGUGUGGAAUUAUUUUAUUUCAGAUGAUUUUUUCCCCUCAUUUCUCCCUGGAGAAAUUUUUAAGCCAGUUGGUUCUGAUUCGAUACAAAAUACAUACAGUGUUCAUUUUGUACUCAAAAUUCCUUGAUAUAAAGAUCAGUAGAUUAAACAGCAUAUGCUUUUGGGAGGGAAAUAUUUGAAUUUGCAAACUAUAUUAAAGUGAAUAUAUGUAAAAAAUUAACUCUCGGUAUGUGUGUGAUUACAUGUGUAAUUUAAGUGUUCUGCAAAAUAUGAUACCAGACACAUUAUCUAACUCAAUCUGUAUGAGUAGUUUUGGCAUGUUCAGAAUUUGCCUAAUAGACUGAAGUCAAUAGAUAAGUAUAACAUGUUCAGCAUGUCCAGACAAAGUAGUUAUAAAAGAAAGAAGGAGAAGAGAAAUUAGAACAGUGGAAAUAUUUUAAGUAAAGGGACAGGAACUUGGAAUAAGAGAAGUGAAAUAGAAUUUGUGAGUUUAAAUGGCAAUUUGGUAUUUAUUCUUUUUAUUGUUCCAGUUAAAUCAGUUCAUGUCUGCUUCUGCUUCUUUUAAAAUCUGUGCGAAUGUCUCUGCUUUCAUAUGUAGGUUAUAAGCAAACAACUUCUGGUAUACAGCAUGUCCAGCCUAUCAAAUUUUUUUUUUUUUUUUUCAGUUUGAUGGGGCUAUUGACUUUGGGCUUUUAUUCAUGAGAAUUGCACAGUCAAUGACAAAUGUGUGACAUUACUAUUACUAGGGAAGCAUGAUAGGAAGGUAGGAAAUGAUUUUCUGCUAAGCAUGGAUUUUGAUUUUGUCAUUUCAGUUACUGAUCAAAAUACUGAGAUAGAUACAGCCUUUCAGAGCUCUAGUCAAAUGAACUGCAUUAAUUCACAAUAUUUGGUUUAAUUUCUCAUAUUGUUAUCCUGCUAAUAAUCAAAACUUGCUUUAAACCUUGUCUCCUGCAAUGUUCCCUCACAUAGUUUAGUAUAGAGCUUCCAUUUGUAAUCUUCACUGUUUUGCACUGUUUAAUCUGCUUUAAUAUUUGGCGUUACUGUAUGCUGUUCUGUAGACCUGCAGCUACAAACUAAGUACACAUAUGAGCUGAAAGCCAGGGGAAAGGAAAUAAAAAACCUAAGAAUACAGGCUGAUACUACUUUCUCCUUUCUUAUAAUUCUGCCUUCUACUUCAAAGUAACAAGUUACAUGAGAUGUGUCUGGGGGUAAUUUUUUGGUAGAUGUGUUUCCAAGCAAUUUAAGGACCUAUUAAGUUGUCUGAACUAAAUACGUCCAAUUUUUUUUUAUUAUUUAUUUUUUUUUUAUUUUUUUUUGUGAGAUAUAGAAUAUAUUCUGUGGCAUAGGUCUGUAAAAUGCACAUCUCCUUCUGUUAGAGCUAUUUAUUCCUGUUGUGUCCUUUUGUUUUAUAAGUGUGUAUGGACAUCUCUUUGUCAAUAAGUGUUUUGUAAAGACAGGUAUAUAAAAGUGUAAACAUUCUCAGUUUGUUUGAAAUAUAUACUGAAAAAGUAUUAAUAUAUUCCAGUCCUAGAAUACAUAAAUUUGAUAAGAGCAUUCAAAAGGGACUAGCUGGAGAAAAUAAUUUCCAAAACAUCAUAAAAGCAUUAAAGAAAUUAAAUACCAUUUCUUUCUUGAGGGGAAUUCUACAAAAAGACAUUUAUCAAUAUUGAAUAGCCAAAACAAAUCCACCUGCAACACUGCUAUGCAUAUCCUCUUCCCACAGAUUGACACACAACCUGGGCAUGUAUGGUCCUGCACAAACACCCUCUUCAACGCAGCAAGACAUAGGGAUCUUUUCCAAAGACACAAGCCUUCCUUAGCCUAGUCAACAGGCUAGACUUCCCUAACCUAUGAAGGCCUGUGGCAGCAGCUUCUGCACAGUAUCAUUCAGUGACAUAAAGUUAAGUACCUGUUGUGAACAAAUGCCACUCUUCUGUAUCUGCACCUAUGGUCAGAAAAAGGAUGCAGGACCUGAAGUUAGCUUUGAGGAAUAAUUCCCAUAAUUUCAACCAGAUUGCCUUUCAUCCACAAUGCUCAAGUCUUAAACUCAGGUGCCAUAGGUGAAGGCUGACCAGUUUGACUUCACCAUAUCAGUGGAUAACCUUUUCUAGUUGCUGAGGCUUUACAUAUACAUAUGUCAGGUAUCUUCUAGUUCAUACUUGCACCCUGUGAAAGGUGCUCACUUGAGCAGCACUAUGCAUGUGUGUGGUGUAUGAAACUGGCAUCCUUUGUGUAUUAUUUAGAAUCUGCUGAAUUUACAUAUUUGUGACAACUCAGGGGUGCUUUGGAAGAAAAGAUAUGAAAAGUUAUUUUGCGUCACUGUCUGAAUAUACAAUUUCAUUAGCCUUCAAAAAUACUUUGUGCAGGUGUCAACCAUGGUGACAUGCCAAAGCAGAGACUUGGAGUUUCUAAGCUAAUUUUUAAAGGUGUUUUCAAAGUAUAAGCCUUCUGCAGUGCACAGACCCUUUAAAAUCCUUAGUCAGCUGAACUGUAGUUACCUGUCAGACAUGAGGGAUAUGUGGCUGUUACAACUAACUAGAAUUAGGUCCUGUCUUUCUCAUCAGUCAGACUUCUAAUACUGGUUAAUAUGUACAUUUUGCAAUUUAAUAAUUUUAAACUGGAAAAUGUGGUCACAAAACUGGACACUGAAUGAAUUUAGUCCUUUGGAUAUGCUCUCUGCACCUUAACAAAAUAUAUCACAGUAAGUUAAUAAUUACUAUUUUUAUACUGUGUUAUUUUAUGGAAAGUAUCUCUCACCAGCAGGAAAGUACAAGGACUUCUUGGAAUCACUAGGGUGUAAUGAAAGUUGCCAAAAAUGUAAACUAAUACAAAUUUUCUUAUGAACCAUGAAAAUAUUAUGUUUGAACUAAAACUGUAACCUUUUGCCUUUGCAUGAGAACAGCAAAAAAAUAUGAACAGGGAUUUAAAAAAAAAUGUGUAUGUGUAUAAACAUCUGAGGUCUCAGGCCCUGUUUUUCUAUUCAACCUCAAAUGUCUAGAAAAUACCAGCCAACUAAACUAACAUCAGAAGAUCAAUGAAUGAUCUGUGAGUAAGUGGAAAACUUCUAGUCUGAUUAAAUCUGCAAAAAGAAUCUUAACAGUGGGGUCCCCUCUUUUUGCUUCUCAAGUGCCUUAGUAUGCAUUUAAUUGCAGCAAGAUACUUUUUCACCUCCAUAAGGGCAUUUUUUCAGAGAUUUUCUCAUUCUACUCUUACUUCCUCAACUCAUUAAUCCAACAGACUUUAGCCAACAUGCCAGCAAUACUCUGAGAAAAAAAGCAAGCAGCACCCAGCAACACAACAUCAAGACAAAAGUAUUCCUCCCAAAGAAACAAAAAUAGUAAGUUCCCAAGAUGCUACUUGCUCGGGUGUCAGAGUGUUGAAAUAUGUCAGGAGAGCAUUUCAAUUUCCUAGACUGAAGAUCAACCAUGGGGGCACACAAUCAAACCAGAAGGCCUAUGAAGGAAGAAGAUAACUAAAAAAGAGAUGGAUCUUUUAAGUGAAGUUUUUUCCUCGAUGUAUUUAGUUGUGGAUCAAUCUAAACAUUUACUGAACAAAUCCAUACUAAUAAUUAGUUUUGGCAAUAACAUGAGAAUCAAAUUUGUUUUCCAAUCUGAAGUUUAAAAAAAAAACCAAACAAGCCAAGCAAACAAAAAAAACCAAACCACACUAAACAAAACAAACAAAAAAACCCCAACCAACCAACAAAACAAACAAACAAACAAACAAAACAACUCACAAAAAAACCCAUAACCAAAAAUACCCCAAACAACCCAUUUUAGAGAAACAGACACAAAAUCCAGAACACUUUGUUGAAUAUCUUAAAGAGGGAAUGGUGUGACUUCUCUAUUGCAAAACUUGUUUACCUUUCAGAAUACAAUGUGGAUUCUUUUCUUUUCUCUUUUUCUUUUUUAUUUUUCUAAAGGGAAUACAAGGGUUAAAUAACCUGAAAGAAGAAAAGGAUGACAUUAAUGUUCUACCUGACCCCAAGCAUUUUUUUACAGCUUUGGUUCAAUAACCCAACUAAAAUAUCCCUUGUUAACAUGAUUCUAAGUACAAGGUACCUUAACAACAGUUCCCAGGGGAUUUUGUAACACCUUUGUCAAAUUCAGUUUAGUGUCAAAGUGGCUGAGAACAUGUUCAUUCUAUGAAAAAAGAGGUAUUUCAACAUUUCCAUCCCAAUUUUGGAAGAAAACAAAUGUUGAAAUAUUAGAAUUUCCCCCAGGAUGAAAAUUCUAAUAUUUUGCUCGGCUCUAGUUUCCAAUAACUCUUACACUUUAAUUUUGUAAUAUUGAACUUAAUGUUUCCCAUGUGAGUAUUAUAACACUGGUGGGUAAAACUUUAGUCACCUCACAGAUUAGGCAUGCAAAGGAAAACAGUUCGUGUAUAUAGAGGGACAGAUCUCUUCCUUCACAAGUCCCUUCCUCUUGUUUCCCCUGCUGAUGAGAUGUCAGUUUAUUACAGACUUGAUGAAUGGAGUUUCCUUUCUCAGGAAACAGUAGUCAGGCCUAUGGAAGCAUUUAUGUAACUACAUAUGUUCCCUCCGUGGAAGUUUCCUUAUUAUCCCUUCCCUUGGCUGUGUUGGACCGCAGUCAGGGACAGCCUGAAGGGGAAUGGUGAAGUGCGGCUUUUGGGGCAUUUGUGGGAAACAAAACUUGGCAGUCCUGGUCUUAAGAGUUGUGAAGCCACAACCGACCCCUGCUUGCACCUCUGUGGUUUGCUGAGUGAGAUACCUUCUGUGCAGUUAAUCCCUACGUGCUCAGAAAGUCUGAUGUAACCUGCUUUUCAUGGCUGGGUAGGGCAACCUUACGUGCACAUGCACUGAGCCUGGUUUCAUUGCACACAUCACAUAAAAUCUCUCUUUAGGGCGUGAGGUUGCUUCCUAUCAGGUCAGGUCCCAAUCAGCCCAGAUUUGAGGUUGUCUUUGGUACUUGGCACCUCCAAACCAUAAGGCAAUAGGAGCUUCUCCAAAGCACACACUUUCCUAGAAUUCAAAAUACUUUACAGAUUAGUUUGGUCUACUCGGUUUUACAGAUCAGAAAACUGAGGUGUCGAGACCUGCAGUUAACAAGUCAUAUUCUGUAGCAGAAUUAGGCCUGUAGCCUGUGACACCAGACUUCAAUGUCUUACACUUCAGUGUUUGACCAAGGUCAUCAACAGGUAUUUCACUGGAUGUAUGUUAACAGGUCCUCGCCUUAGUUCUAUUUUCCUUUCUUAAACAGAGCAAAUCAGUGUCUGUCUCCUGUUGCUGCUGCUGGAACAGCUCUCCACUGCUGCUAGGGUGUCUUUCCUGAUAGGUUCUUUCGCCAUCAUUUAUAAAAGAGGGUGUCUCUCUAACCUGAUAGGUAAGAACGGAAAGGCAGGAAGCAAGGGAUGAAUCCAGCUAUAGGAAUAAUUCUCUACUGAAUGACAGGUUAGACUGGCUCAGUAAUAACAAUAACAAUAAUAAAUCUUCUCUUUCUACUCUAGCAACGCUGAAGCAGAGGAGAACAUCUGGCUUAAUCUCUUCAAUGUAUUAACUCAAAAUAGCAUAUACAAUGUUUUCUGCUGGUUGUCAUGGACUUGUCUUGUUACAACUUGGACUUCCUCUUUCCAUACUUGCACUUGGUAUUUCUUCUGUGCUCUGUUGAGAUUUUCUGAUAGAAGGUGCAGUGCCAGGUCAAAAUACUGCUGUAGAUCAGACGUAGUCAGCCGUCUAGGGUGUUGUGCUGGCAAAUGGUAUGUCAGUUUCUUGUGCUCCAUUUCCCAGCAGAACCUGAGGAAAUGCCUUAUUUACAGACUGGUGUAUUUUCAUUUCGGUGGGUUUCAGAAUUACGAUAUCCUUUAUUCCAUCCCUCAGCUGGCCACUCACCUCUUCAUGAGCUGUUGCUCCCAUGGAUGGAGUAGAAUUCUCCAGCUCUGACUCCGGGUAACUUUGCUGUGAGGUACUUCUCUGCCUGCCACUGGUGGUGGUAAAGGAGAAGACUACUGCAGACAUUGUUUGUUCGCAAGACUACAAAAUUAGGAGAAAUAUAUUUUAUUACUCUUCUUCCACAUGCCCUUCUAACAAUCAAUUUACUUCCUUAUGCCCACCUAUCUCCAUUUUUCAUCAGUUUUACGCCUGAACUAGCAUGAAUUACAAUGUAGCUUUUUUGUUACCAGGAUCUAUUUUUGAAAGUAUCCUGAAAACCUACCAACUUUCUGUCUUUUCUUCCUUGGUUAGAAGGUCUGAAUUUUAUUUAAAUAUGUGUUUUUGUUAUUAUUAGCUUUUUUGAUAAAACACACAGCCUUUGCCAAAACCUAUGAUAGCUGAGCACGUGUUAGUGAUAGCAUUGGAAAGAAGUGGGGGAAAAAAAAAGACAUGAAGAGGAAAUGUCUUGUACUGAUGUUUUUGUUCUGUUAUUGACUGUUCUUGUUUGGUUUUGAGUGCUUUUUAAAAAUGUGUGUGCAGUUCCCAGCUUACUGUCUCAGUGACUCAUAGCAAGAAUCCUUUUCAGUAUCAUUUCCUGAAAACUGGCCCCAUGUGUUUAUGAUAUGUUAAGCCUUACUGAUCAUCUCACUCUUCCAUGCUCAGGCCAGCACCUAUAUGUUGUCAGCUAAUUUGUAUAUGCAAACACUCCAGAAUAAACUGUCAAAAGGAACAAUUAUAAGUCACUACUGUAGUUCAUGGACUUUGGUGCAUGUUAUUAAUCUCAUUUAAUUUGCUUUCUCUGUAUUAUGGGGCUGCUUGGGUGUUUUGAAUUAAUACAUUAUUAGAUUAAAAUAUGUAAACAUCUUGUGGAAAUGGGAUUGGGAUCUAAAACUCCUCUCCAUCAAAGGUUAAUCUCUCUGUUGAUGGGCUGGAGCAUAAUGGUGGGCUCUUUUGUUGGAUUGCCUCUUGCCCAAUACAUGCUUUUUAUAUUGGUCCAUGUGAGGGGUGGAAAGUGGUUGGUCUGUAUGUUUCCCCAACCAAGGAAUGUCUGAUUCUGACUGUCUCCGGCAAAAUAUGAGGUGUGGCCUAAAACAGCUCAAUUGGAGAAAUGUGUUAACUAUGUUUUUCAAAAGAGGAAGACACCACUACUCCUGACUUUAUUACAAAAAUGAAAGUAUUUUUAAGGGAUGAGACAAUCCUCCUGUGCCCACAGGCAUGUUCUUGCAGAGCUCAGUCCCUGCUGGAGUUUCAAACUGUGAUCCCAUAUAUGCACGUGACUUCUGAAGAUUCAACAUUCAUAGCAUGUUGACUGUGUGAAUAUUGCUUCUGAGCAUAAAUUUCUUCUUUUUUCCUUAAAACCUUAAGUAUCUAACUCAGCUUCAUCAGGUGUAUCCCAGGAAUCAAAACUAUGGAUGUGGUAUGGCCUGAGGUGGCCCUUGUACAGAUAUGGACCUCAGCUUCCACACAGACCAUUCUUGUACUCCUAGGAACAUCCUUUACUGUCACUCUUAGUGAGGGGUGUCUUAUGAAGCAGUUGGAUUAAGUACAAUUUAAAGCAUCAUCACAGUCAUGAAGCAAUCAUGAAGAUGUCAGUAGAAUGAUGUCAAGAUGCUGGCAUAGGAACUGUCUAUGCAAGUUCAGCAGCCCCUGGAGGUUUGUGCAGAGCCUGAGGAAAAAGGCUGAGUGGGAGAUGUGGAAGCCGCUGGGACUGCAUGAAAGAGACUGGGGGAAGAGCUUAACGUAACUCAGCAUAGAGACUCUCAUCUUCUGAAUAAAGGAAGAGCCGAUUUAGCAGUGUUGCUCACAGAGCGUGCUCUGCUGUAGCAAUAGCAUCAGUCUGGCACUUAGUCUAGACUAGUAAACUCAACAGGGCCAGACUAUUGCCUGACACUGAGGCAAUGUAUGUGGAGCAGUUCAUAGCUAUGCUGUUAAACUCUUACCCUCCAAAACAGUCAUGGAGACCACCUAUUAGCAAUGGACCCAAGUGGAUCCAAAUUGUGCCUGGAAAAAGUUUGAGUGUUCCCUGCAGCAUAAGUGAAAUCCAUACAAACACAGCCAAAUUAUGGUGCCUGGGAACAUCCCCUUGUGUCAUUUACUGGUGUAGGCAUAGUCCAAAUGUUCCUGUUUCAUUUGUUGUUCCUGACUUGGAGUGUCCCUAGAAAAACAUAUGAGGACAAAUACAAACUUGGGUGAAAAUGUAUAGUUUACCUAAACUUCAUCACAUAAAAAAGGCAAUUUCUCUAGUCUUGGACUUUUUUUCUUCUAAGACUUUUUUUUUUUCCUAACAAAAGUGCUUCCACAAAUCUUUCAGAAUGCAAAACGUCACGUAGCCCCAUUCCAUUGAAAAAUAUGUAGGAUGUGCAUGUGUUUCAAUCUCAUGAGUGCCUCAUGAACCACAUGCACUCAGGAUGUGGAGCUGGGAUCCUACUGCUGCAUAGCCCAGGCUCCCUCCUUGCCUUAAGCCAAAGGAAACUACUAUGUUUAGGAUAUUUCCCCUCAGAUACACGAAGGAAGAUGAUUGAUUUUCUGUAUUCAAUUUGGGGGGAAAAAAAAAAAAAUCCAUCACAGCUAUGUAAUUGGGAAGGGUGGGGUUUUUUUCCACAUUUGGAAUAUGGAAGAACCUUCACUCCUGGUGGAAACAGACCCAAUACAAAUAUUGCUGGAUAUAGAGAAUAAGGUUACUGUGCAGCUUUUAUAAUUAUUUUUCUCUGAACUGUUCAUGUUUUCUCUCACUUCUAAUUUUUUUUUUUUUUUAAUUUAAGCUUCUGUCAUUCCUCUAAAGUUGUUUCUUGCCCUGAUUGAACCCCUCUCCCUGCCCUCAAAAAGCCAGUGUUUAAUCUGAUGACAUUGUCAAAAUGGAUUUAUGGAUUUGUUUACUAACCAGGAUCCGAAUGGGAUGAAACAAGUUUGCCUCUGGGAAUGGAUAUGACUGAUGCUGUUUUCCGAAAGCUGAUUUUUGUUACUUUUUUAAAAAUGGAUUGCUAAUAGAAAAUGAUUUGUAACUAAUGGAAAUUGAGGGUAAAAAGCUAUGUUCUUGCGUAAGUUCUGAAAAUGGCAGCCUGGCAUUUCUAAAGCUUAGAGGUGAAAUGUAACUGUUCUGUGAAAAACAUUUCCUCUUUUAUUUUUGGCAUGUUUUCACUUAUAUCCAGGGUGGUCUUGAGGAUUUGUGGGCUCAAAGAGAACAGGAAAGAUUUUUCAUCAAAUAUUCCUUUCUCUUCCUUUCUCUCCCAUUCCAUCUCCUUCUUCUUUCUUUAUUUCUGAUUUUUGUUUGUUUGUUUUGGUUUUGUUUUUUGUUUUUGUUUUUUUUUUUUUUUUAGUUUUUCUACUAUCUCCUAUUGUGACCAGGUCUGAAGAGUGAAGCAUCAUGUGCAACCCCCAGCCCCAUCAAAAAAUUAACUGUCGGCAUGAAAUCUCUCAGGUUGUUGUGUGGGAGCAGGCAGCAGUGGCUCCCUGAGGGCUCACAGCCUUGCCAGAGGGGUUUUGCUGCUGCUGUUCCCCCUUGUGCCUCCUCUGCCUGACCCAGGGGGAAGGGGUGUUUUGCAUUAUGUUGCUCCUUUCUUCAGGGAGCAGGGAGCCCAUGGCAGGGAUGAGGUUUCUUUCCCUCUACCAUGUUCUUUGCAACUCCACUGAUAGCUGGUUGUUUGGGUUAUUUUGUUUUGUUGGUUCAUUGCUUCUCAGAAUUGCACUUACAGCUUCAGCUUAGUGCAACUACAUUUUCAAGCUUCUGACUGAAUCUUCUCCCAGCUGUGUUUCUCAAUCACUGCAAUUUAAUACUCCCUGGUUUUUACAUUGAAAAUUUUAGGCCUUGUUUCUUCCAAAAUGCACGUAUUAGUGCUAUUAAAACCCCCCAUACCUUUAACUCUAUUCAGUGACUUCAGAAAAUGAAGCUUUUAUCCGUUGUGGGAAGAAAAAAAAAAAUCUUGCUGCUUCCAUUUAAUAGUAUCACAGCCAAACCCAAUGAUGUGAGAGAGCACAUUGGCAUUGGAAUAGCCCUUGCUGAGGAGAAGCACAUUCCAGAGGAAAUUGAUUUUCAUGUCACCAGCUUAUGCAUAUUUUGAAAAUUAGGUUCUGAGCCAUGGAGUUCACAGCUGAUUUAUUUUUCUUUGUUUUUUGCUAAACUUUUUCAAAUGGAUAUUUAGUGAACUAACAAGUUGCCUCUGACAUGGGCUGAGAAGGUUCUUGCAAAAAAUGAUUAGUGCAGCACAGCGUGUAAGUGGAGGCCCAGACAGCCUUGUGAAAUGCAAAAGAACUGUUAAUGUCAGCCCAUGACUAAAGUCCAGCAAAAAACUCUGGGAUUUGUAAAGCCUAAAGCUGGAAGGUGAUAAUGUGGUCUGCUCUCUGUAUUUCACAAGCUGCUACACUUCAUCCCAUUAUCCAUGUUGAACUCAGUGCUUCCUGUUUAAGUUAAACAUGCCUUCCAAAAAGACAUCCGGUUUUGAUCUGAAAUUAAGCAAGGUUUGCUUUGAUAGCUUUUUUUCGAUGAUUGACAACAUCCAAACAAACGAUUACUUUCAAUUUGUCUGGCAUCAGCUUCCAGCCACUGAGGAUUAUGCUCUUCAAUUAAUGAGGCUGCUAGUUUGCCCCAUGAUGUAUCCAUGCUGUGGCCAUGAUACCUGGCAGUCUUCUCCGUGGUAAGCUCAGUCUACCUCUUGGAGUUAUUUUCCAUAGCUCAAACACUUUCUUUUUUAGCUUUUGUAAUUCUUUCAAUAGCCUUUUAGAGAUGCAAAAUGUGGAUUGUAGCCAGCAUCUUAAUAUGUUACUCUGUGUCUCCUGGUAGUUAUGUCAAGAAAAUCAGUUAUUUGACAUAACAUAUAAAAGCUGAAUGCAUUCAGUGAAUAAUCUCCAUAUAUGAAUCCAGUCAGUUUCAAGUGAAAAUGCUAGCUGGUGACAGCUUGCCUCCUGUCACAUCAGUGUGUAUAUGGCUGGUACUGGUUUUGCAGGAUUCUGUAACCAUUUUAGUCUAUGCCAGAAAUAAUUUUUUCAUGAAACUGCUACAUGCUUUAAAUUAAAAAUUUCUAUUCACCACAUACUGUGAAAUGUUCUGCUCAUGUUCUCAUCAGCAGUCAUAAGGUGUUUGAAAUUCUGCUGUUUUUUUUUCUUGGAAAAAAAGAAGAUUCUUCUCAUCUAAAUUAGGUUUUGUUUGUAUUUUCUUUGAUAACCUACUUUAGGGGAGGAGUGAGAGAAGAGAAAACCUAGGAGAAGAUACAGAUAACUCCUUAACUGGUAUGGUUGUUUCCCCUCAGACCGGAAACUGGUGAUAAUGAAGGUGUCAUUCCCAUGCUGAUGACCUUCUCUUAGUUCAGAUGACUUCAGCCUUAUGGAAUCUCCUGCACCUCUUGGCUGCCAGAGGAGAUAAUACUCCUCACCAAAGAACAACUUUGCUUUGCCUUGCUUUCCUUAGCUGGCACAGCUUCGUUUAUCUGUACCAUUUCACAUAAGAAGUGCCAUUCAUGGAAGGUAAACUUGGCCAUGGUUUUGAGAAUUGCUGUUUGUCUUGCACAUGGUCAGUGCUUUUCCUUGUCAUUACUCACCUCCUAAUUGUGCUUGGAAUUCUGCAAAUGUGAGGAAUUCAGGCUAGACCUGGCCUGGAUUUUUCAGGGCGAUUGCACUUUGACCCCUUUUUGGAGAUGACUGAAGGAGACUGCUGGAGUUAUUAGUUUUCUUUAUCCUUCACCCUCUAAAUUACUCAGUGCAAGAUGUCUGCUUGCACAGUGAAGUUAAUGCUAGGAGAGCAUGCUAGUGACUCUGUGAGUAAUGUAUUCAUUCCACUUAAGAAAGAAAACAGACUUUUUGUGAAAGAAACAUUGUAGAGAUAGGAAUAACUUGUGAAGUGUUGCAUUUUUUCCAUGAGGAUGGGAGGGGAGAGAUUUUAUUAGUCAUUAAUGUCUGUCUCCCCACUCCCUCUUGGAGGUUGCUCUUUAUUUUUGUCAGCAUGUUGUAUUCUGCACAUGCCAAAUUUCUGUUUCUUUGUCACUUACAGGUGAAGUUCAAUCUUCUGGUGAUUUGCAUACUGUAGCUCUUGUGGGAAUGUUUGUAAAACUAGUUUGCUUGGGUUAUAGCUCUUUUCUGUGACUGAAGACAUAACCAGGCGGAUGCUUAUGACACACAUCCCAUGAUGUGCUCUGUGACAGUACCCGGGGAGCCAUAAGGGCAGUGUGUGGCCUGUUUAGAAAAAUAUGUGCCUGGAAACUAACAAAAGGUGGUCAGGAUAUUUUUGUCCUAACAUCUUGGGUCCAUUACUUCCUAAGUUAUGUGAUGACUUAGAUUGUAAGCUUACCAAUGUUGAAAAAAUGAAGUUACUAUUUCUAUCGCAUUUGGGAAGAGGUUUCUAGAAAUAUGCUUUAAGUGGCUGAGCAGACUUCACUGUAUGACAUUCUUGUGUUUUCAUUAAUACUUAGUUUUAAUCUCACUGAACUGAUUUGCUGGGGGCUAAUGUGUGAAGUGACCUUGACUCUGCAGAGUUAGAAGAAACUGAGGAGAUGCUUGGUGCUCCCAAUUGCCAUGUACUUCUGAAGGAGCUUGGUGAUUUGGGUUCCCUACCUUUGACCUCACGACUCUCAAUGUAAGAGCUAAAGAAACCUGUUUGUUUAUUAAAGUCAUACAUUAGUCUCACUCUGUUGUUUUCUUCUCUGAAAUGUAUAUUGGAACUAAAAUGGCUAAAAUUAGUACAA